CAAAAAUUAAUUAAAAUUUAUUUAAUGAUGAAUUACUGAUGGGGAAAUCAGUGUAAACGUUAUAAAAUAUUUCAACAUUCAAAGACACUAUUUGUGUAUUUUUAAGUAGCCUAUAUUUUUGUGUUGACAUUUUGAGAGUCUUGGUUACAAAUCAAAAGCUACUGAAUCAAUGCGUGAGUCAGUUAAAGUCAACCAACCCUGCAUGGACUGCAAUAGUUUGAUCAGGAUGUAACAUUAGCAGGUGAAUGACCAUCAGUUUGAUCAUGGCUCCUCCCAGCUGAAAGUCAGGUUUGACAUACUAAACAAACUGCUGAAACCUCUCCAAGACCUCCAACACUUAUGACUGAAAAUGAAGUCAGGAGUGUACAUCUGUGUUCUGUGUGGUUGUUUGCUAGCACUGCUACUUAAGAGUUCGGCCAAUGGAGAUAAUGAUUUCACCUUUUUAGCAGAUAUGGAUGAGGACGAAAAAAAGAAUUCGGAUAAUGAUUUCACCUUUUUAGCACAUGAGGAUAAGGAAAAGAAGAUGACCAACAAUACAUUUGUAAAUAAUACCCAAAAUGAAUGGCCUCAAAACAACACACAAGACAUUACUCAAGAGUUACAAAACCCUGAUGACAAGUUACUUUAAAUGAAAUAAAACAACUUAUGCAAACUCAAACAAAACAACAUAAAAUCCUGAUAAAAAUAACAUACCUCACUGUUUGUUGAAUGAUCUUUUUAUCAUUGCAUCUGUAACAAUACAUCUGUGCCAUACUGAAUAAUAAAAUAUUGAGAUAAAUACCUAUAAUUAUAGUACAGUAUAUGAAAUGUAAAAAUAAACAGUGUUCACCAAGUUAA